rnacentral:misc_RNA from 1 species
AUCAUUAAUGAGUGCAAUAAAGCUGAGCAGUGGGUGAGAGAGGGAACCGAACAACAAGAUUCCUUACCCAAGAACACCAAUCCAGGGUUAUGGUCAUCGGAGAUAAAGAGCAGGACAGAGGAUCUAAACUUGAUAUGCAAACGUAUAUUGGAAAGGAAGGGUUCUCCACGAAGUUCGGAGGACAAGAGACCAGACCAGCCGCAAUAGGUUCAAGGUGUUGAAGACCUCUCAGAAAACUUCACUUCAAUUUACACUUAUAAACAUGGCACAGUUUACACAGCCC